rnacentral:rRNA from 1 species
CAGCAGCCACGGUAAUACGGAGGGGGCUAGCGUUGUUCGGAAUUACUGGGCGUAAAGCGCACGUAGGCGGCUUGGUAAGUUAGAGGUGAAAGCCCGGAGCUCAACUCCGGAAUUGCCUUUAAGACUGCCGAGCUAGCAGGUGAGAGAGGUAAGUGGAAUUCCGAGUGUAGAGGUGAAAUUCGUAGAUAUUCGGAAGAACACCAGUGGCGAAGGCGGCUUACUGGCUCAUACUGGACGCUGAGGUGCGAAAGCGUGGGGAGCAAACAGGAUUAGAUACCCCAGUAGUCCCUGUCUCUUAUAA